AACCCAAGGAGGCCAGACAGAGGGACGUGGUCACUCUCUGAAAAGUUCAACUUGAGAGUUCUCCAUCAGCAGCUUCUGCACCGUGGUGGACGUCGUGAACUUCUCCAAGCUGCAGGUGCUGCGCCUGGACGGGAACGAGAUCAAGCGCAGCGCCAUGCCUGCCGACGCGCCCCUCUGCCUGCGCCUUGCCAGCCUCAUCGAGAUCUGAGCAGCCCUGGCACCGGAUGCCUCUUCUGUGCCUUAAGCAGAGUCAGGAGACCCCAAGGCAUGUGAGCAUCUGCCCAGCAACCUGUGGAGACAACCCACACUGUGUCUGAGGGUGAAAGGACACCAGGAGUCACUUCUAUACCUCCCUAACCUCACCCCUGGAAAGCCACCAGAUUGGAGGUCACCAGCAUGAUGAUAAUAUUCAUGACCUGAUGUGGGAGGAGACAGCCAACCUCAGGCUUAGAUCAAUGUAUAGGGCUAUAUUUUGGCAGCUGGGUAGCUCUUUGAAGGUGGAUAAGACUUCAGAAGAGGAAAGGCCAGACUUUGCUUACCAUCAGCAUCUGCAAUGGGCCAAACACACCUCAAAUUGGCUGAGUUGAGAAAGCAGCCCCAGUAGUUCCAUUCUUGCCCAGCACUUUCUGCAUUCCAAACAGCAUCCUACCUGGGUUUUUAUCCACAAAGGUAGCGGCCACAUGGUUUUUAAAGUAUGAGAAACACAGUUUGUCCUCU
rnacentral:lncRNA from 1 species